UACGUAGGGGGCAAGCGUUGUCCGGAAUUAUUGGGCGUAAAGAGCUCGUAGGCGGUGUGUCGCGUCGGCCGUGAAAACCUGGGGCUCAACUCUGGGCGUGCGGUCGAUACGGGCAUCACUUGAGUUCGGCAGGGGAGACUGGAAUUCCUGGUGUAGCGGUGAAAUGCGCAGAUAUCGGGAAGAACACCCGUGGCGAAGGCGGCUCUCUGGGACGGUACUGACGCUGAGACGCGAAAGCGUGGGGAGCGAACAGG
rnacentral:rRNA from 1 species